UACGGGGGGGGCAAGCGUUGUUCGGAAUUACUGGGCGUAAAGGGCUCGUAGGCGGCCAACUAAGUCGGACGUGAAAUCCCUCGGCUCAACUGGGGAACUGCGUCCGAUACUGGAUGGCUUGAGUUCGGGAGAGGGAUGUGGAAUUCCAGGUGUAGCGGUGAAAUGCGUAGAUAUCUGGAGGAACACCGGUGGCGAAGGCGGCAUCCUGGACCGACACUGACGCUGAUGAGCGAAAGCCAGGGGAGCAAACGGG
rnacentral:rRNA from 1 species